UUGCAAAUAAACCCCUUAUUAAUAAUACCUCAUUGUCUUUUAGGGCCGCCCUAACGCCGGGCUAACGCGAGUCGCCACACAAAUAAACCUAAACCCUAGAUCCCGAUCGGUAAACGCAGCUCCUCGUCGGCGAGGCCUUUCACGAAGACAGCUAAAUCCUCUCCGCUACUCUCCAGGUGACGAUUCGAAUCCAUGGCGGAGCAUUUAGCUUCAAUCUUCGGCACCGAGAAGGACAGAGUAAACUGCCCUUUCUACUUCAAGAUCGGCGCGUGCCGUCACGGCGACCGUUGCUCCCGUCUCCACAACCGCCCCACCAUCUCUCCCACCCUCCUCCUCUCCAACAUGUACCAGAGACCCGACAUGAUCACCCCCGGCGUGGACCCUCAGGGGCAGCCCUUAGACCCGAGCAAGAUCCAGGCCCACUUCGAGGAUUUCUACGAGGACAUAUUCGAGGAGCUCGACAAGUUCGGCGAGAUGGAGUCUCUCAAUGUCUGCGACAAUCUCGCUGACCACAUGAUUGGCAAUGUCUACGUCCUCUUCAAGGAGGAGGACCAGGCCGCCGCCGCCCUCAAGGCUCUGCAGGGGAGGUUCUAUUCGGGGCGUCCCAUCAUUGCUGAUUUCUCUCCCGUGACGGAUUUUAGGGAGGCUACUUGCAGGCAGUACGAGGAGGAUAACUGUAACCGCGGCGGGUACUGUAACUUUAUGCACGUGAAGCAGAUUUCGAGGGAGCUUAGGAGGAAGUUGUUUGGGAGGUAUCGGAGGUCGUACCGCCGUGGGAGCAGGAGUAGGAGCAGGAGCAGGAGUGUAAGCCCCAGGCGCAAGAGAGAGCGAGGGGAUGUUAGGGACCGUGACCGCCAUGGGAAUGGGAAAAGAAGCAGUGAUAGGUCGGAGAGGCAUGACAGGGAUGGUGGUGGUGGUGGGAGGAGGAGACAUGGUAGCCCGAGACGUAGCAGGAGCCCUGUUGUUGUGAGAGAAGGUAGCGAGGAAAGGAGGGCGAGGAUUGAGCAAUGGAACAAAGAACGUGAUGAGGGUGUUUAAGUGUUUUUUUUUUUUGUUCUCUUCGUUUGCUGUGCUGAUUUGAUUGUCUCGUAAUGGAUAUUUGUUUUUUGUUAGAACUUGUGAGUGGCAUGAGACUGGCUUUCCUUAGAUAUAAAGUAAGUUAACUUGGUGUCCAUGGAAGCAUUCGAAGACGUAGAGAAACAAGUAUGCAUGGUCUGGUUGUGAGCAACUAUCCUGGUGGUGGAACGAGGAUGUGCAUGCCCUAAGAGACGCCUUGUGGCACAAGGCUGGACAUCCAGUGAAGAUAUCUUUUAAGAAAGAGAUGGCGAGAAGUAUCACUGUUAAGAAUCUUCUAGUUGAUGCAGGUGUUUCAAGCGCUGCUUCGGUUCUCCCAUACCUUGAGGCGGAAGUUAGGAAGGCAAUUAAAAAGCUACAUAAAACUUUUCGAAACUGUGGCUCCUCUCUUUUUGUUAGAACUUGUGAGUGGCAUGAGACUGGCUUUCCUUAGAUAUAAAGUAAGGUGAACUACUUUUUUCUUGUUUAGAAACUAGUUCGUGUGAAAUGGAUCCUUUGGUAGUUUUGUUGUUGUUCUU